rnacentral:rRNA from 1 species
AAUUGAUCUGGCUAGAGAACGCUGGCGGCGUGCCUAAUACAUGCAAGUCGAACGCACAGCGAAAGGUGCUUGCACCUUUCAAGUGAGUGGCGAACGGGUGAGUAACACGUGGACAACCUGCCUCAAGGCUGGGGAUAACAUUUGGAAACAGAUGCUAAUACCGAAUGAAACUUAUUGUCGCAUGAUACGAAGUUAAAAGGCGCUUUGGCGUCACCUAGAGAUGGAUCCGCGGUGCAUUAGUUAGUUGGUGGGGUAAAGGCCUACCAAGACAAUGAUGCAUAGCCGAGUUGAGAGACUGAUCGGCCACAUUGGGACUGAGACACGGCCCAAACUCCUACGGGAGGCUGCAGUAGGGAAUCUUCCACAAUGGGCGAAAGCCUGAUGGAGCAACGCCGCGUGUGUGAUGAAGGCUUUCGGGUCGUAAAGCACUGUUGUAUGGGAAGAACAGCUAGAAUAGGGAAUGAUUUUAGUUUGACGGUACCAUACCAGAAAGGGACGGCUAAAUACGUGCCAGCCGCCGCGGUAAUUCGUCGUGACUGGGAAA